CAAGGAUUCCCCUAGUAACUGCGAGUGAAGCGGGAAAAGCUCAAAUUUAAAAUCUGGUAGUUUCACUGCCCGAGUUGUAAACUAGAGAAGCGUUAUCCGCGCUGGACCGUGUAUAAGUCUCCUGGAAUGGAGCGUCAUAGAGGGUGAGAAUCCCGUCUUUGACACGGACUACCAGGGCUUUGUGAUGCGCUCUCAAAGAGUCGAGUUGUUUGGGAAUGCAGCUCUAAAUGGGUGGUAAAUUCCAUCUAAAGCUAAAUAUUGGCGAGAGACCGAUAGCGAACAAGUACCGUGAGGGAAAGAUGAAAAGAACUUUGGAAAGAGAGUUAAACAGUACGUGAAAUUGUUGAAAGGGAAACGCUUGAAGUCAGUCGCGUCGGCUAGGAAUCAGCCUUGCUUUUGCUUGGUGUACUUUCUAGUCGACGGGUCAGCAUCAGUUUUGAUCGGUGGAAAAAGGCCAGCGGAAUGUGGCACCUUCGGGUGUGUUAUAGCUGCUGGUUGUAUACAUCGGUUGGGACUGAGGAACUAGCACUCUGUGUUUUAGAUGCUGGCAUAAUGGCUUUAAUCGACCCGUCUUGAAACACGGACCAAGGAGUCUAACAUGCCUGCGAGUGUUUGGGUGGAAAACCCGAGCGCGUAAUGAAAGUGAAAGUUGAGAUCCCUGUCGUGGGGAGCAUCGACGCCCGGACCAGACCUUUUGUGACGGAUCCGCGGUAGAGCAUGUAUGUUGGGACCCGAAAGAUGGUGAACUAUGCCUGAAUAGGGUGAAGCCAGAGGAAACUCUGGUGGAGGCUCGUAGCGAUUCUGACGUGCAAAUCGAUCGUCAAAUUUGGGUAUAGGGGCGAAAGACUAAUCGAACCAUCUAGUA
rnacentral:rRNA from 1 species